rnacentral:tRNA from 1 species
AAAGGGAGACCUAAUUCAGGUAGGAGACGAAAAAAAAGUAGUCGCUACCAAGAAUCAAUCCCAAAAGGUCGGAGCGAGGCGAAAUUGGCUUUCAAACUAGGUUCUGGGUUCACACAAGACCUGAAUCAGGAACAAGGGCUAUUAGCUCAGGUGGUUAGAGCGCACCCCUGAUAAGGGUGAGGUCCCUGGUUCGAGUCCAGGAUGGCCCACCUGCACAGGUGGCAAAAACAAGAGAAGCGAGGAAUCAGCACCUUAUCUUACUGACAUAGUAAGAGAGAAUGCUGGCUCUGAGUACAGAGUCCAGAGGAACCUUGAAAACUGCAUAGAGCUAGGUGAAAAAGCCAAAAAAGAAGACCGCAAG